rnacentral:rRNA from 1 species
GACGAACCGUCCAAACGUUUAUUCGGAAUCACUGGGCUUACAGAGUUCGUAGGCGGUCUGGAAAGUUGGGUGUGAAAUCCCUCGGCUCAACCGAGGAACUGCGCUUGAAACUACCAGACUCGAGGGAGAUAGAGGAAAGCGGAACUGAUGGUGGAGCGGUGAAAUGCGUUGAUAUCAUCAGGAACACCGGUGGCGAAGGCGGCUUUCUGGGUCUUACCUGACGCUGAGGAACGAAAGCUAGGGGAGCGAACGGG